rnacentral:rRNA from 1 species
AUGAACGCUAGCGACAGGCCUAACACAUGCAAGUCGAGGGGCGAGCACAAGGAGCAAUCUGAGGUGGCGACCGGCGCACGGGUGAGUAACACGUAUGCAACCUGCCUGUAAGCGGGGAAUAACCCGUUGAAAGACGGACUAAUACCGCAUAAUACUAAAUUACUGCAUGGUAAUUUAUUUAAACAUUUAUGGCUUACAGAUGGGCAUGCGCAUGAUUAGCUAGUUGGAGAGGUAACGGCUCCCCAAGGCAACGAUCAUUAGGGGUUCUGAGAGGAAGGUCCCCCACACUGGUACUGAGACACGGACCAGACUCCUACGGGAGGCAGCAGUGAGGAAUAUUGGUCAAUGGACGAGAGUCUGAACCAGCCAAGUCGCGUGCAGGAAGAAUGUCCUAUGGAUUGUAAACUGCUUUUGCAGGGGAAUAAAGUGCAUCACGUGUGAUGUUUUGUAUGUACUCUGCGAAUAAGGAUCGGCUAACUCCGUGCCAGCCGCCGC